GCGUAACACGUGGGGAACCAACCCUCCAGAUGGGGACAACCUCGGGAAACCGGGGCUAAUACCGAAUACGCUCAUCGGGUCGCAUGGCCUGACGAGGAAAGGAUCGCAAGAUCGCUGGAGGACGGUCCCGCGGCCUAUCAGCUUGUUGGUGAGGUAACGGCCCACCAAGGCGAUGAACGGGUAGCUGGCCUGAAGAGGGUGGUCAGCCACACUGGAACUGAGAUACGGUCCAGACUCCUACGGGAGGCAGCAGUUGGGAAUUUUGGGCAAUGGGCGCAAGCCUGACCCAGCGACGCCGCGUGGGGGAUGAAGGCCUUCGGGUUGUAAACCCCUGUCAGGAGGGACGAAGCCGCAAGGUGACGGUACCUCCAGAGGAAGCCCCGGCUAACUACGUGCCAGCAGCCGCGGUAAGACGUAGGGGGCGAGCGUUGUCCGGAAUUACUGGGCGUAAAGCGCGUGCAGGCGGCCUGAUAAGUCCCGUGUGAAAGCCUACGGCUCAACUGUAGGAGGUCGCGGGAAACUGCUGGGCUCGAGGGCAGGAGAGGGAAGUAAGAAUUCCCGGUGUAGCGGUGAAAUGC
rnacentral:rRNA from 1 species